UACGUAGGGGGCGAGCGUUGUCCGGAUUUAUUGGGCGUAAAGAGCUCGUAGGCGGUUCGAUAAGUCGGAUGUGAAAUCUCCACGCUCAACGUGGAGGGUGCAUUCGAUACUGUCGUGACUAGAGUCCGGUAGAGGAGUGUGGAAUUCCUGGUGUAGCGGUGAAAUUCGUAGAUAUCGGGAGGAACACCGGUGGCGAAGGCGGCGAUCUGGGUAGAUACUGACGCUGAGGUGCGAAAGCGUGGGGAGCAAACAGG
rnacentral:rRNA from 1 species